UCUCUCUUCACCCCAGGAGUAAUGGGAAAAG
rnacentral:piRNA from 1 species